AAGAACAUCAGAAAUUACAGUUAAGCAGAAUCGUGACAACCAAGAGCAGUGGCAGUAUCGGGGACUCCCAGUACAACAAGUUGUUGGUCUUCCCACAGGACAACAAGUUCAGCAGCAGAUUAUCGGCCUUCCCGCAGUACAACAAGCUCAGCAGCAAAUUAUCGGCCUUCCUGCAGUACAGCAAGCUCAGCAGCAGAGUUUCCGGAUGCAACACACCA
rnacentral:misc_RNA from 1 species